rnacentral:rRNA from 1 species
UACGGAGGAUGCGAGCGUUAUCCGGAUUUAUUGGGUUUAAAGGGUGCGUAGGCGGUUUUAUAAGUUAGAGGUGAAAUCUCGGGGCUCAACUCCGAAAUUGCCUCUAAUACUGUAGGACUAGAGAGUAGUUGCGGUAGGCGGAAUGUAUGGUGUAGCGGUGAAAUGCUUAGAGAUCAUACAGAACACCGAUUGCGAAGGCAGCUUACCGGCGCCCGACUGACGCUGAGGCACGAAAGUGCGGGUAUCGAACAGG